rnacentral:rRNA from 1 species
AUACGUAGGGUGCAAGCGUUAAUCGGAAUUACUGGGCGUAAAGCGUGCGCAGGCGGUUUUGGAAGACAGUGGUGAAAUCCCCGGGCUCAACCUGGGAACUGCCAUUGUGACUGCAAGGCUGGAGUGCCGCAGAGGGGGAUGGAAUUCCGCGUGUAGCAGUGAAAUGCGUAGAUAUGCGGAGGGACACCGAUGACGAAGGCAUUCCCCCGCGCCAGAACUAACGCUCAUGGCCGAAAGCGUGCGAGGGAAACAGGAUUAGAUACGCUGCUAGUCUGUGCAGCAAAGGAUUUUAACUGGUGAUUUGGGAAAUCUUUUACGAAUAAUGAAGGUAACAUAUACCUUCGAACCCCUCGGGAGUCCGGUCUCAAGGUUGAAACUGAAACGACUUGACGGGG